CAGUCAUGUGCGUGAGCUCAUCAAGGAUACAUAUCAGCUCCAAGGAAGUUACUGGUGGUCCCAUUUUCUAGACAAGGCAACUGGAUGCCUUGGCUUAUAGUACCAUUGAAUCUAGAACUCUUCAAACCUACUAUUUUUCAUGCCAUGCAUAGCAAUCCAAUGGAAUGACUUGCCCAAGAUCUUACUGUAAGUGAAAUCACUGAGACCAGACCCUGGGAUCCUUCACCUGCACCGUGUGCUUCUAUAGCUGAACCCUCCAGGCCAACCACCUACAUAUCCUCUUCACCUUCACAAAUCUGCAUUUCUCUGGAGGAGGGAAAACAAGUGUGCCUUCUCCUUUCCAGGCAUGAAGGUGACAGGGAACUCAAGAGAGACCAGAGACACAAUAUUCUUUCUACUUCUGCACAGGGAGUUUGGAGACGCAAAGAGGCACCAGGGAUGGGCAUGAAGAGAGAAAGGGCCAUCUGAAGACACAGGAAGGAGAUGGCCAUCUACGAGCCAAGGAGAGAGGCCUCAGGAGUAACCUAACUUGCUGACACCUUGA